CUCCCCAGCCUCCCCUUCCCCCACAACCCCUUCUUUCUCCAUUAGACCUUCUUCCAAGCUAACCCACCUCUCCUCCUCCUUCCUAAACCCCUCCACCAUCCUCCACCUCACACCCUCCACCGCCACCCCCCACCACCACCACCGACGCCGCAACUUCACAGUCAAAGCCGCCAGAGGCAAGUUCGAGCGCAAAAAGCCCCAUGUCAACAUCGGCACAAUCGGCCACGUCGAUCACGGCAAAACCACCCUCACCGCCGCGCUCACCAUGGCCUUGGCCUCCAUCGGCAACAGCGUCUCCAAGAAGUACGACGAAAUCGACG
rnacentral:lncRNA from 1 species